ACUCAUGUGGGGUGCUGGUUCAGGAUAAAUAGGGCUGUUUUUCUUUAUGUCUCAGAGAAGAUUUAUUUCGACUCAUUUCUGAAGACUGGUGUAAAGAAGUGCAACUGUUAUGGCUUAUCAUAUGAAGGGACUCUUCCUGAUCUGGCUGCUUUCGAUUUGUAUUAGAAGCACAGAGGCUCAGGAUUUUAACAAUCUUGCUUCCAUUACAAAGUUCUUGGACAAAAAUUAUCAGGUCAUAGGGCAGUAUGCAGCAGCCAUCAAUGUCCCACAGGAACAGUGUCACGAUUUCCAACCCUCGACUAAAACCUUCUUAACAAAUGACAAAGGAAAAAAUGUAAAAGAAAUUAUAAAAGUUGAAACAAAUCCAGUCUACGAAGGCACAGAGCUCAUCGCUGCAGGAGUCCAGACAAAACCUUAUACAAAACAUUCAGAGUUUCUGCUUCUAGACCCUGUAAAUAAUUCACCUUUGACAUAUUUACUGAAUAAGAAAAAUGAUGGAUGUGUGGUGUUUUACACCCUAAACUCUCCCUGUAUGAACAGAUGUCUCAAUGGAAAGUACAACAUUAUACCAGGUGUAGAUGAACUAAGAAACUAUCAGGGAAUAAAAGCCUUUGCUUUCAAAAAUAUCUGGAAACAUGAUCAAGACAAACCAGAGGAGCUGAAAGUAAACCUGAAGACUAUUGCUGAUCGUGUCCCACUCUACCGCUGCAAAAAAAACAAACCAUGCAUCCUUUGUGGAGAGCCAAAUUCAAAUGUUGAAAUAAAUAGUGAAUGUUUGUCUGGUUGAAAAAAAAAUACCAGUUGUCUGGGUUGCUUGAUUGGUUAAUUUUAAUGAGCUUCAUAAGAUGCUUCAGAUGCUUUUUCAACUCAAACUCCAUAAAAAUCAUCUAAUUUCAUAUUGUAUUUUAUGUUUUUUUGUGUAAAAUAAUUUUGUCUCUCAUUUACUUUUUAAGGGUUAAAUGUCAUGUCACACAACAAUUGCAAUGCUUACUUCAUAAAAUAAAUAAAGUCUUGAAUUUGCA